GGCGGCAAGGGAAACAAAGAUGACGGCGCUUGGCCCGGUGGCGCGGAGGGCCCGCCCGCCCGCCCGCCGCUAUUGUGUGGCCGCCUGACGGAGCAGCAGCGCUAUUUUUCUUACUCCCAACGUGGUGAUCCGGUGGCAGCAGAGGGACUUACAAGGAGGCUUUGUCUGCAGAAGAGCUGCUGCGACACGGCCUCUCCUGAAUGGCCGCCCGGCCGCCUUCCGCGGGCACCGCCCGCAAUUUUUUUUUUUUUUCCCAUAUCAAUUAGAGGGGGGAAAAAUCUGCAUUUUCCUCCCCACCUUUUUCUUCAGAUUUGAGCCCCGGUGUCUGCCGCAGGAAAGAGCUGCCACCCGCCUUGACUUUACCUCCUUUAUGUUAGUCGUCAGCCACCCGAAAACUGUUGACGUAACCGAGGGCUUUAUGGGCCCUUCAGCAGCAUCCAGAGCUGUCUCGGGAAUAAUGAGGAAACGGUGGAGACGUGACGCGUGA
rnacentral:lncRNA from 12 species